AUGUCUCAGUUUAAGCAGCUCCAUAGCAACACUGUGCAUGGCUCAUUAAAACAGCCACAACCUGGGUCGUGGUCCUGCUACAUGGAUAUCUUCGGCAAUUCUGCAGCUAAUACAUGCACCAGCAUUCACCUGUGGUGAGUUGUGGUUGUUGCAUUCAGAAUUAAUGCAAGCUGUGCUUGAUGACCAGAUGAAUCAUUACAACUGCAUGGAUUGUAGUUUGUACACUGUUGAUGCUCUAUCAAGGUUUCUGACCUAUCAGCUUCCGAUGGCAGGGUAAAGGCCUACCGUGGCAGUGACAGGUGACGGAGGAUUAGGGUUUGACUCCGGAGAGGGAGCCUGAGAAAUGGCUCCCACAUCUAAGGAAGGCAGCAGGCGCGUGAAUUGCCCAAUCCUGAGAGAGGGAGGUAGUGACAAAAAAUAGCGAUACAAGGCAUCCAUGUUUUGUAAUUGGAAUGAGGGAUCAGUAAAUGUCGUUUUGAGUACCAAUUGGAGGGCAAGUCUGGUGCCAGCAGCCGCGGUAAUUCCAGCUUCAAUAGCGUAUGUUAGAGUUGUUGCAGUUAAAAGGCUCGUAGUUGGAUUUCUGCUGGAGAUUGCUGGUCCGCCCU
rnacentral:rRNA from 1 species